CUAUUGAUUUUGAGCGGCAUUUUAUUUUCUCAAUAAGCGGCUUCUCAAACACGGCUUCUCAUCCGUUGUCUUUCAAAAACCCUAAUUCUAUCAAACACAAAAACUCUCAUCUAGGUAUCUUUAUCAUCUUCAACAUGCUUUUAGAUCUUGAAGAUCCAUCCAAUUCUCCUUUUCCUUCGUUCACCCCUUUUCAUUAUCAUCGAUUUUAUUUUGUCUUCCCCUUUCAUAAUCCUCUGUAAACCCUAGAAGAGUCUACACCAGUUCUUCGAGGUUACUGAUUCAAUCUGAUGGAAUGAUGGAUCUUUAUUCUGGCAUUUGGAGAGAGGGAAAUGGUCGAUAUUUACUGGCCUUUUGGAUCUUUAUUUACUGUUCUCUCAUACUCUUUGUGGAUUAGGGUUUUUUUUUUGUUUCCAUUGUUCCUCUUCAUCGGAUAAUCCCUCAUUCGCAUUCUGUUUGGAGAAAACCUAGCCGCAGUCCAUGGAAUCAGGAUUUCAUGGUUAUGUUAUAUUUGGCUAUUGAUGUUGAGAUCAAGCUUUUCUAUAUGCAAUGGAAGAGCAAUACAAGCCAUUGAAAGAAUUUGGUGCCGGGGAUUUUGUAAUAGCAAGCCUGGUUAUAGAUAAGAAGAUGAAAGAACUGUUUGCUAUCAAAGACAAUGAAUGAGGGAAACAGGUAUAAUCAUUAUUUUCUGAAUUGUGAGAAGAAAUAACCUUCAAUAGCGAUUUUGAAACCCAUCAAAUUUCUUUAUCAUUAUAUGUGGUUUACCUCACUUUCUAAAAGAAAUCAUUAUUUUUCUUUUUUAGUGAGUAAAUAUAUGUUAUAAUUUAGGGAUUAAGUCGAGUCUGAUUUCGUUGGAAUGACAAUUCUCCUUGAACGGUUUGUUAAUCUCGAGUGGCGAUUUGAAAUGUUUACUAAUGAAUAGAUCGAUAAAUGUUGUAUGUUAUUUCAAACGGGUCUAUCAAAAUUAGUUUCUGUAAAUGUUUUAUAUAUGCUUUGUGUCUGAAUUUCAUAACAUCUGGGGCUUUUGUGAAUUUAUUGUAGUAUCUGUGGAUUGACUUUGUUGUUAAUCCAUGUUAUCCUUUGCUGUUAAUUAUUCACACGAUUCUUACCAUGCGUCUGAAAAUUUGUCUGGAGUUCCUACGGCUUUCUACAUUCUCCCGUUUACAUGGAUUUGGGAAGCCUGAUAUCUGGGAUGAACAUGAGGAUGGAAUAUGGAAACCACCAAAGAUAGCAUAUCCGGCAUACAAAGGUACGAGUUUGGUGUGGCAAAUGAUACACUGAAACUAAUUUUGUGAUAGUUUUGUUCUGUGACAGUUAGACUGCAAAAGAUUUUAUCAUUACUCUGAUGUGCGAAUUCAUGUUGUGGAAGUUAUUGCAAAUUUGGUGAGUGAAGGUGGCUGCUUUUAGGGGUGAGCAAACGGGUCGGACCCGCUAGAACUGGAUCAAACUAACCCGGAACUGAGAACCGAAUGGGGUGUAUUUCAAGAACCGGAACUGAACCUUAUAAUACAUACACGGUUGUAACAGGACGAUUUGCUGCUGCUGCUGCUGCUACUAUAGCUGUUUCGGUCAAAGGAGUCCAUGUGCGAUUACAUCCUCUUUUUCUUUGCUAUGAUCCAGGAUGAAACCCUAGAUUCUCUGCUCCUCCAUCGACGCUCCAUCUCUUGCGAUUCUCUGCUCCUCCACCUGUGAGUGUUCAUGGCGAUUAUAGGACGGCAAAGCUUCAUACCACGUUAUCAAGAGGGAAUCUGAGUUGUGCCAGCGGAUGAUGGAAAGUUUGCUGAAUGCUGUUGCGGAUUUGGUGCUGAUAUGAUAAUGACUGCAGAAUCGUGUAGAAACAGUAUCAAUAUUAUGGGUAAUGAUAUGAUUUGUGCGAGUCAUGCUAAUGAAGGUUGUUAUUGGUCAAUAUUAAUGCACCAUCAGUGACUCAAAUAGGAUUACAUAAAUGACAUCGAGGUAAAAAAUGAACAGUAUUUCUUGAUGAACUCAAUUGUUGUUGGACAAAAAGUUAUCGUUCAAGAAGAAUUCAGAAUCAUAUCACAUACGCAUUCUUUUCCAAUAUCUUUUGCAAAUAGAAUGGGAAGGCUGGAAUAAUAGCUUAUGGAAAUGAGCUCAGUAAGUUAGUGAUACACCUGGGGAAAAGCAUGGGAUGAACCAGGCCAUUCUAAUGGUGGAGAUAUACUUCAUUUAAGCAUGGAUGUUUUAAAGGAGAAUGUAAUCGGUAUUGAUGGUCUGGACUUGAUCCUUAAGACCGAACAAAUCUCCUUGAAGUUCUGCAAGUAAUCAUGAAUUCGGAAACGCCAUGACUGUUGAUGAUUCAGGACAACUCCUGUUAGGUCCGAUCCAUAUUCAUUCGGAUCCGUGUCCAACUGAAAUUAAAUAGGCUUGCCAAACAUGGGUUUUAGCAUGAAGAGAUAUCAAGUUAUAAAUCAUACAUUUUUAGAAGUAGAUCUGUUUAGUCCAAAUAUAUUUUUAGAAUACAUUUUUCACCUUUAGUUAAGUUUAAUAAGCUACAUGAAUACAUUGGUGUGAGAUUAGCUAUGAACAAUGCAUAUUUAGAAGGGUCCAUUCA